GUUUUAUCACAAAACAGAGGAUUCAUCAGGCAGAACUGUGAUUCCAGGCUACCUUCCCCACGUCCUUCUGAUUCCUUCAAGUAUCUCGGCUGGUGUGACAUAGAAGAACAUGAUGUUCAAGGAAAUCAGCUUCAUUGUCCCCGAGUGAGAGAAGGACCCUCAGAAGAAGUGCUAUUUUUCAGAGGAGAAGAACAUACUUUGAAAAAGAGAAAACAAGUAACUGACCCAGAGAAGUGGCAAAAGAAACUGCGAGAGAACUGGGAAAACUGUGCUGAGUUGAACCUUUCAUUUCAGGACCUAGGUGAUCCUUACCAGGUGGAAAACUUCAAAAGGAUUCUCCAAAGAUUAAUUCGGGUGGAAAAACUUUGGUUGGUGGACAAUUCUUUGACAGAGCUAAGUGCCAUAAGGUUGCCAAGAUGCAGAGAACUAAAUGUCCACAAAACCCACUUUACAUCCUUCAAACAGCUGCCAAAGAUACCUCAGAUUCAGCACUUAAUCACUUGCUGAAAAUAACAUUAUGACACUAAGUGGAAUAUCGGACUUCAGACAUACUCCACUUGAAUCCCUUAUACUCAAGAGGAAUCCCUGUGAAUUUCAAGAAGGAUACAGACAACUUGUAUUCUCCAGUUUGCCAAAUCUGAAAAUGCUGGAUGGAAUCCCAAAACUGCCAGAGGACUGUUCACCCCCAGAUACCAGGUUUUUUUCAAAAUGUGUACUAUACUUUAGCGCUGUAUUUUUGUAGGAUCACAACCAUGCUAGAACCAACUCAUUUAAAAGAUACAAUAAAUCCUGU